CAAGCGAGCCGGGUGGCCGCCCCGGUACAGUAUCGGGGAGGAAAGUCCGAGCUCCGCCGGGCAGGACGCUGGGUAACGCCCAGGAGGGGUGACCCUACGGAUAGCGCAACAGAAAACAUACCGGUCCUUCUACGGAAGGACCAAGGGUGAAAAGGCGAGGUAAGAGCUCACCGGCAGCCGGGCGACCGGCUGGCCUGGCAAACCCCGUCCGGAGCAAGACCAAAUAGGAGGGCAUGGGGACGCCCGGCCCCAAGGGUCCUCGGGUUGGUCGCUUGAUCCCGGCAGCAAUGCCGGGGCUAGAUGGAUGGCCACCGGUCCUUCAUCGAAGGACUACAGAACUCGGCUUACAGGCUCGCUUGCCUC
rnacentral:RNase_P_RNA from 1 species